UUGGCCCAUAGAGGGUGAGAGGCCCGUACGGGUGGAGGUUCAGACAUGUACGAUGGUUCACCAGGCCGGCCUCAGAGUCGGGUUGUUUGAGAUUGCAGCCCAAAGAGGGUGGUAAACUCCAUCCAAGGCUAAAUAUUGCCACGAGUCCGAUAGCGAACAAGUACCAUGAGGGAAAGUUGAAAAGUACUCUGAAGAGAGAGUAAACAGUACGUGAAGCCGCAUGCAGGUAAACGGGUGGCGUCAAGCUGCGAGCCCGGAGGAUUCAGCUGACUGGGAUGUAGUGUACGCGCGCCUGGGGCGUCGAGAGGCCGGAGUAAGAUGUGGCGGUCCACUCUUCUGUUAAGAGUGGGGCGUGAUCGGUGUGCGCUUGCGUAUGCUGGUUAUCGCUAUGUAUGCCGGGUGGGUGCCGGAGCAUGCCGUUCAUCUGUUGGGCCGCCUAGUCAGUGCAUUUUCUCCGUGGUGAACACCACGACCGGUGGAACUGUCAGUCUGCUGUGAUCAAGUCGUGUUCUCCUGGCGCUUUACUGUGUUGGGUGGGCACGAUCGCAGGCGGAGUCGGUGGACGGCGCAGUGGUGCUUCGGUACUGCCGCGUGUUAUCGUGCACUCUCCGUCGUAAGCGGUUAGUGGGGUUGACUAAGUGCUGUGACUACUUCCCUACUAGCCGGCGGAUCACAGUGGUGAAAGGGACUGUGCAGGGCACCGGAGUUGUCCAUCUCAUUCAAUAUGGUACUCGACACACACGUUGCAGGUGUGAUGAAAUCGAGACACGCCGCUGUCUGCCUGGUGUUAGGCCUGACUGUCGUGUUGCCUGCGCAAAGUGGGUCCGGCAGUGGUUUUGAUGCUUGGUAGUGGUGGUGGCAGUGUGUUGCGUGUCUUGGGUGUCUGUGGUACCGGGGAUGAAAUAGUCAGUGGUGCUGUGGUAGACGAGCUACCCGACCCGUCUUGAAACACGGACCAAGGAGUUUAACAUGUGUGCGAGUCAAAGGGUCCUACGAAACCCCUAGGCGCAGUG
rnacentral:rRNA from 1 species